rnacentral:tRNA from 1 species
AGGGCUGUGGUUCAGUGGUAGAGCAUCUGCUUGGCAUGCAGAAAGUCCCAGGUUCAAUUCCCAGCAUUUCCA